AGUCUUAUUUGGUAGCCAAGGAUGACUUGCCUGAGUCUAAUAUAAAUUAUAGAUUACAAUGUCAUUGCAAUCUAUAUAUAUAUGUACUCUAAAAGGCACCAAGCAAGUCAUCUAUGGCUUGCUGAUAAACUCU
rfam:Beta vulgaris subsp. vulgaris chromosome 6, whole genome shotgun sequence.